UACGGAGGGUGCAAGCGUUAAUCGGAAUUACUGGGCGUAAAGCGCACGUAGGCUGUAGUGUAAGUCAGGGGUGAAAUCCCACGGCUCAACCGUGGAACUGCCUUUGAUACUGCACAACUUGAAUCCGGGAGAGGGUGGCGGAAUUCCAGGUGUAGGAGUGAAAUCCGUAGAUAUCUGGAGGAACAUCAGUGGCGAAGGCGGCCACCUGGACCGGUAUUGACGCUGAGGUGCGAAAGCGUGGGGAGCAAACAGG
rnacentral:rRNA from 3 species